rnacentral:rRNA from 1 species
UUGCCUACGGGACGCAGCAGUGAGGAAUAUUGGUCAAUGGCCGGAAGGCUGAACCAGCCAAGUCGCGUGAGGGAAGACUGCCCUAUGGGUUGUAAACCUCUUUUGUCAGGGAGCAACGCCGGCUACGUGUAGCCGGACUGAGAGUACCUGAAGAAAAAACAUCGGCUAACUCCGUGCCAGCAGCCGCGGUAAUACGGAGGAUGCGAGCGUUAUCCGGAUUUAUUGGGUUUAAAGGGUGCGUAGGCGGAAUGCCAAGUCAGCGGUAAAAUCGCGGGGCUCAACCUCGCUCCGCCGUUGAAACUGGG